CACAAGCGGUGGAUCAUGUUGUUUAAUUCGAUGAUACGCGAAGAACCUUACCAGGUCUUGACAUCCCCCGCGAUGCUUUAGAGAUAAAGCGGAGGUAUCGGGGAGACAGGUGGUGCAUGGUUGUCGUCAGCUCGUGUCGUGAGAUGUUGGGUUAAGUCCCGCAACGAGCGCAACCCCUAUUGCUAGUUACCAUCAUUAAGUUGGGGACUCUAGCGAGACUGCCAGUGAUAAACUGGAGGAAGGUGGGGGAUGACGUCAAAUCAUCAUGCCCCUUAUGACCUGGGCUACAAACGUGAUACAAUGGCUGGAACAAAGGGAUGCGAAGCAGUGAUGUGGAGCGAAACCCAUAAAAACAGUCUCAGUUCGGAUUGAAGUCUGCAACUCGACUUCAUGAAGUCGGAAUCGCUAGUAAUCGCGGAUCAGAACGCCGCGGUGAAUACGUUCUCGGGGUUU
rnacentral:rRNA from 1 species